rnacentral:lncRNA from 1 species
UGCCUAUCUAUCAUGACUUUUUAUUAGAACAGAAACGCAUCAUAUCCAAGGAGACCUCAUAAAUCCAGCUAGUACAGAAUAGGGAAACAAAUUUUGUUCAGUGUUUCAGCCAAUGUUCAUUUUCAUUUCUAUAGAUAACACACUAAUGGCAAAUAAACUUCAACUUAACAAAAGAUUUCCUGUAAAACCAGCACAUCCAAAAACCAGUACAUCCAACAAUACAACACACUUAUAAUGGCUAAUCAAACCUAAAGUUAUAACCUAUAAACACAUUUUGAUAUACCACUCUUAAUAGAGAAACACAUGCUAAGAAUCAAAACCAAAUCAAGGUUAGUCAUUAUUUACAGGUCCUCAACUCAUAAACCAAACUCAAUCGUGACAUCACCGUAAGAAACAACAGACAUAGCCAGAAACUCUAUCUCAAUGCUACACCAGAACUCGAUUUGUAACAUAACAGAGAAAAAGAAAAUCACAUCUGAUUCCAAUCAUGAACUACACAAAUCAAACCCAAUGUAUUUACUACCCAUCAUAACCGCAUGCCAGAAUAAAAACAAAACGAUAAACAGAAACAAUCUAAAACUCAGAUUCAACUCAAGCCAAAGAUGAAAUUACCGAAAAUCAAACAACACUAAAUC